AGAGUUGAUCUGGCUCAGAUGAACGCGGCGGCAGGCUACACAUCAAGUCGAGCGGUACACAGGAGCUUGUCUGGGUGACGAGCGGCGGACGGGUGAGUAAUGUCUGGGAAACUGCCUGAUGGAGGGGGAUAACUACUGGAAACGGUAGCUAAUACCGCAUAAGUCGCAAGACCAAAGAGGGGGACCUUCGGGCCUCUUGCCAUCAGAUGUGCCCAGAUGGGAUUAGCUAGUAGGUGGGGUAACGGCUCACCUAGGCGACGAUCCCUAGCUGGUCUGAGAGGAUGACCAGCCACACUGGAACUGAGACACGGUCCAGACUCCUACGGGAGGCAGCAGUGGGGAAUAUUGCACAAUGGGCGCAAGCCUGAUGCAGCCAUGCCGCGUGUAUGAAGAAGGCCUUCGGGUUGUAAAGUACUUUCAGCGGGGAGGAAGGUGUUGAGGUUAAUAACCUCAGCAAUUGACGUUACCCGCAGAAGAAGCACCGGCUAACUCCGUGCCAGCAGCCGCGGUAAUACGGAGGGUGCAAGCGUUAAUCGGAAUUACUGGGCGUAAAGCGCACGCAGGCGGUCUGUCAAGUCGGAUGUGAAAUCCCCGGGCUCAACCUGGGAACUGCAUUCGAAACGCAGGCUAGAGUCUUGUAGAGGGGGGUAGAAUUCCAGGUGUAGCGGUGAAAUGCGUAGAGAUCGGAGGAAUACCGGUGGCGAAGGCGGCCCCCGACAAAGACACG
rnacentral:rRNA from 1 species